UGCGUAGGCGGUUUGGUAAGUCUUCUGUGAAAUCUAUGGGCUCAACUCAUAGACUGCAUGAGAAACUGCCGGGCUGGAGUGUGGGAGAGGUGAGUGGAAUUCCUGGUGUAGCGGUGAAAUGCGUAGAUAUCAGGAGGAACACCUGUGGCGAAAGCGGCUCACUGGACCAUAACUGACGCUGAUGCACGAAAGCUAGAGGAGCAAACAGGAUUAGAUACCCUGGUAGUCCUAGCCCUAAACCAUGAUUGCUUGGUGUGACCGGGUACCCAAUCCCGCCGUGCCGUAGCUAACGCGUUAAGCAACUCCGCCGUGGGGAGUACGGUCGACAAGGCUAGAAA
rnacentral:rRNA from 1 species